rnacentral:rRNA from 1 species
GACGUAGGGCGCGAGCGUUGUCCGGAUUUAUUGGGCGUAAAGAGCUCGUAGGCGGCUUGUCGCGUCGAAUGUGAAAACUCCGGGGCUCAACUCCGAGCUUGCAUUCGAUACGGGCAGGCUAGAGUCCGGAAGAGGAGAGUGGAAUUCCUGGUGUAGCGGUGAAAUGCGCAGAUAUCAGGAAGAACACCCGUGGCUAAGGCGGCUCUCUAGUACGGUACUGACGCUGAGACGCGAAAGCGUGGGGAGCGAACAGG